AUCCUUUUAGCUCAAUGAUUGAGCGCUGGCGUUUUGAGCCACAUGUCGGUGGUUCGAUUCCACCCGAGCACA
rfam:Phytophthora infestans T30-4 supercont1.37 genomic scaffold, whole genome shotgun sequence.